UUGAGAAAAUUAACAUAAUUGCACAUUUUCUUUGUCUUUUCUCUCUCUCUUUUCUAAGCAGGAACCAGGCUGUUAACCCUCCAGGAUCCAAGACCAUGGGUCAGCUACAUCACAGGAGCCCUAAGGGAGCAGUUAGGAAUCAGAAUGUGCUUUAUCCCAGCCGCUGAAUGCAAAGGGUUACACUCCACUGGAAGCUACAAGGGCUGCAGCCACCCUGGCCGUAGAGAGAGGUUUUCUUCGCCCUACCUGGUGUGGGAGCUUCACUCUAUCUUCUUACUGGGAGCAAGCUUUGUGCAAAACCAAAUUCUUCUAAGCGAAGUGAGUGGAAGGUGGAGCGAAAUUGCUUCCUCACAUUUACGUGGAACCGGCCUCCGAAGACGUGGUCUGCAGAGAACAGGCAGCGAGAGACUGGUCACCAGCGUCAGUGUUCGUGGGAAUUUUAAUAUCGUUUUUUAAAGACCUAGCAAUGGUUUGUUUGUUUUGGUGUGAUUCAGCCUUUCAUGUUACACCAAGUUACACCAAGCACUGAAUGCUGCACCUGCUGGUGAUUUUUUCCUGUGCUGCUGGGGAUUUUAUUUAUUUAUUAGAGAAAGAGAGAGAGAGAGAGGGAGACAGAGACACAGGCAGAGGGAGAAGCAGGCUCCACGCAGGGAGCCCGACGUGGGACUGGAUCCCGGGUCUCCAGGGUCACGCCCUGGGCUGAAGGCGGCGCUAAACCGCUGCGCCACCGGGGCUGCCCUGUGCUGCCGCCUUUAAGCGCGGUUACCUACUGGACCAAGGCCUGCGGUCAAAGAGGAGGAAAAACCCAUUUGCCCGCCCUCCUCAGUUCACUGGUGCAGAGAGCUGGGGUGCGCUCGACUACCGCCCGGGGAACCCAAACUGCAGAGGCCCGAGGCGGUUCAGAAAUGAAGGGUCUUUAAGCUGCGCAGGGAGCGACGUCUGCGAAGUGACAGCUGAUGGCCCCAGCACCCUACCCCCGGGGCAGCUCCCCACCAGCAGCCGCCUCUCCCCCCCCACCCCCUCCCCGGGGCAGCUCCCCACCAGCAGCCACCUCUCCCCCCCCCCCGGGGCAGCUCCCCAGCAGCAGCCGCC
rnacentral:lncRNA from 1 species